CGGCCCUCCGGCUGAGCCCUGAUCUCUAUGGUUUCCGCGGCUCGCUAGAAGGAGUGUGGUCCACCGGAGGACUCCCUACAUUCUUCCUCCAUUACCUCACUGCCUCCGGUGGCUGCUGGGAUACCGGAGGACUCGGGUCCCGGCUCGACUCAGUCCUCCAGCCGCCCGGGGAAUACCUCUAGUUCUUCCCGGCCGCCGCCGCCGCCGCCGCCCCGCCGCUUCCUCCUCCGCCUGCCGGCCUCCUUCGCCCCGUCCCGUCCGCGCAGCGCGUCCGGCCCGCCCGCAGGCCAGCUUCUCUCGGGAGCCCCCACCCAGGCGCAUGGCUCCAUGAAGCAAGAGGAGGAGGCAGAGCGCGAGAGGUCCCGUCCGCCCCAGCCGCGUCUGGGCCAGGAUAAAAUGGAUUCCACCCCCGCGGCUCGGCCCAAGCUGCUCUACCUGUCGCUCCAUCGUCUCCCCAACUCCCCAGCGCCCCGGGCCCUCUUUCCUCUUACCCUCGUUUCUCACCUUUCACCCUGUCCCUCGGCCCGCUUUUCCCCUCCCCGCUCUGUCCUGUCGUUUUCUUAACACUCUUCACACGCGCACUUCCUCCUCCUCCUCUUCUCUUUUUCCCACCCCUACCUUUGGGCCCUCCUUCCUUAACCUCCGCUGGCCCCCCAUUCCAUGAUCCGUCCACCUGACACGCUGGGUUUCAUGCCUCUCUUUCCCAGGCUGUGGGUUGUGCCCUUCACUCCUUGCCCUCCUCCAUUCCCUGUCCUGAUCUGAACUCCUCUCCUUGCCACGCUCCCUCACCCUUAUCCCUCUGCACACUCCAAAAUUUUUAAAGAAAAAGGAGAGAGAGAAAAAAAAGUAAAAGAAAAGAAACCCAAAAGGGAAAAUAUAGCUAAGGUGAACUGCAAAACCAUAUUCCUGCUGCUGUCAGUUAUGAUGCACUGAGAAAACUUCAGAGACCUAAACUUUUUCCAGAGAAGAGAAGCUUUACUGGUGUUCCAGCCCUAAGAAACUUAAAUCCUCAGUGUGACACAACUCAGUCCUUCUACUGCAGCAGCUCUUUUAUAAAAGCCUCCCAAAGCUCCAAGAAGGAACAAAGAAUGUGACCCAGUAAGCUCACACCAUAAAUCUAUAUUGCAGAAACCUUUGUUCAAGAAAACGGCAGAUGCUCUGUUGAAUCCACUGGAGAUUGUUCUGAUACUAAGGACAAGUAGCAACCAUCUUUCCUGUGAAAAAUUCCCUCUCGUACUUUAGUUCUGUGGAUCCAAAAUUUAUAGCAUUCUUCUACCACCACAGGGGCUCAUAUGACAUUAACAGACAAGACACUUUUCAGAAAGACAGGUAAGUCAUUUGUUAAAAUCUCACUACUGUUGUUUAACAGAAACAUAUAUAUGCAUGUAUAUGUGUGUACUGUAUGGAAAAAGUGGAAUUAGAGUUUAUCUAGAAAAGAAAAAAUUACCUCAUCUAAGUGCAGAAAUGAAUAAUACUUAAACCAUACCAUACAAUUCUCUAUCAUAUUUCCACAGAUAAGUCAAAAAUUUAAAAAAUCUUAUUGUUCAUGCAUAAAUGCAGAAAACAAUACCUCUAGUAUAUGUUUGUGUUCUAUUGUACUUUCACAGAAGGUGUUUGAUACUUAAUACUGUGUUUAUUAAGAAAAAUCUUUGCAAUGGUUAUGGAAUUAAAAUUUCAUGUAAAAAUGAUUAUGUAGAUCAAGAAAAGUUGCAAUUUUCUGGAUUCCUGAUAUUUUAAAUAAAAGUAGUUUCCAAAG
rnacentral:lncRNA from 1 species